rnacentral:tRNA from 1 species
GGAGAGGUGGCUCGAGUGGUUGAAGGCACCACUUUCGAAAAGUGGCAUCCCGAUACAAUCGGGAUCGAGAGUUCGAAUCUCUCCCUCUCCG